AGAGAGGAUACGCAUGGACAGCGUGGGCUCACCCUCUGCUCCUCCGAGCACUCGGACUCGGACCAAGAGGAGAUUGAGGUGGACGUGGAGUCUACAGAGUUCUCGGAGCACGGAGAACUGGACUCGGUUUCUACGGCCUCCACCAGCGAUCUAGACGACCACAGCAGCCUUCAGAGUCUAGCCAGCGACGAGGGCUACUCCAGCUGCAGCAUCCUCAAACUCUCCUCAGCCUUCUCCGGAUCCUCCUCAUAGGAGAUGGCUGUUGGGUGUAGACUCCUCCCCCCCGGCUCCAAUCUGCAACCUCGGGGGGCUAAAUCAACAUCCAAAGACCAACCACCUGAACCUGUCCAGCGACGAAGGUUACGAGGGCAGACGUUAAUCCAGCGUCCUCGUCAAACUCAGCGCCUUCUCUGACCGGCCGAUUAGAGUUGUCUCCAGCCCCAGCUCCAACCUACAAACACCUUGGCCUCCCCCUCCAUCCACCACCCCUGUUGUGUGUCGUCAUGUCACCCAUCUACAUGUAUCAUCGCCGACUACACCAUCGCCAUGGCAUCCCUCAAGUGGCGCCCUGACAUCCUUCUAACUUCCUGUCUGUAACCCCUCGCCAUCGCACCAUCCGUCGCUCUGCUCCAACUCGCUGCUGAACCUCAACCCCCAGUCUGAGAACAACCCUCCCCCCCUCGGAACCCCUCAACCCCCCUCCGUCCCAAGCAGAAGGUCCAACCCCCCGUAUCGUCCCGAUAACGGGUACAUGAAGAACAGAGAUCGAUCCAAACACAGAA